GCCGCGCCCCGCGUCUCCCCGCGGCCCUCCCGUGUCCGAGGUCGCGCUCAGUCCUCAGCAGCGGGAAGCAGGCGCCCGGGGAGGCGGAUGGCUCCUAGGUCGUCGGUGGAGCCCGCGUACGUGGGAGAGAAAACCUUUUUAAGAUAGUGGGAAAGAAAUCGCGGGUCAAUCUGGCAGUGCCACAUUCCGGCAUCACAAAGAGGGCUGGCUGGAACAGGGGCGGGGCGGCAGGGACGGUUCCAGCCAGUCACUCUCGUUUUUUGUUUUUGUUUUGCGGUGCUGGGGACAGGACCCGGGGUCUAGGCAUCCUGGCCACUGGGCCCCGCCCCUGGCCUGUAAGUCACUUUGGUUUCACUAACUGUAAUGCCACUCCUUAAAGUUUUAGAAUUAAAAGCGUAACUUGAUAUCUACAAACAGGCAGAACAGUUCAGUUUCAGUCAUAUAAUGACAUAGGAAAUAUCAGACAUCAAGUUGUUUUAAUGAAUGAUUAUUGCAAGCAAGACAGUAUUUUAUCCCUACAGCUAAUCAGUAUGAGUAAGACAAAUCUUUACCAUCAACUUAAAUUCUGGUUGUGGAGAUGUAACAUUCCUACAAUAUUCAAGUGCGUGCUGAAUAAACUAACAAUUCUACAGUUACAAAACACCACAUCCAAGUUUCAAACAUAGGCGCAGCCCCUGCAAUACUUAACCUCAAUUGUUCACAUAGCCCCAAAAUACUUUUCCAUCAGACAUGCUUUCCUGGGAAAACCUGGGUCCAUAACCAGGUUGUGUGAUGCUUAUAGACCUACAUUAGCUCAGAGCAUAUGUGAACAUGGGUCAUACCAGGGUGGCACCCCCUACCCCCCGACUGGCUGCACUGGGGAACUGGAUGGCUGUGGACACAGGGCAGAUAAGGAAACUUGAUAGGUGGAAGAAACAUUUCUCACCAGAGCCUGGUGGUAGUUUAGGCCCCACAACUUUCACAUAGCACUUCCAAAACAACCUCACAACCACACGCAGUCCACGGACUGCAAAGACAGCUCCAAGACAGGCCUCCAGCUCAUAGGGGCACUCCCAUGCCACUCAGAGCAGCCAGCCUCUGCCCCUGUGCCCAAGUGCUAACAUGAUCAUAGUUUAGGUUUUAAGAUUAUUUUCUAGGUGGUUGCAGGCUGACAGUUUUGUGCCAGGAGAGGACUAGGGGGCAAGAGGUCAGCUGCCAUCUCUUGGGCACAGCCAGAAAGGCAGGGACUACAGAGAAAAAUCGACCGAUGGCUGAUGUCUGGACAUCAUGUGCAGACCCCAGCUGUUCAAAAGCUGUGCUGGCAUCAGUGAUGGUGUGCAGAAUUCAGAGUCUGCCUCUCUCAGUGGGCUACAGGUUAGUCCCUAACCCUCAGAGGUUUCAUCAGAUUGUCUGGCAGGAGGGCUGCAGGUGGGGUGGCCGGGCAGGCUCCUAAUCCUAAGAGCUAAUGUGUACUGACAGAGGUCUAUGAAGCAAGCACUCUCCUGGGAAAGUGGGGCCUACAGAUGGGAAGCACCACCCAAUAUCACCCAGCUCUCGAGGGAUGGCAGAGACUCACACCCGGGAACGUGAGACCAGAGCGGGAUUAACUAGCAUUCUAACGAGAAGGCAGAGUCAGGUUGUGGACUGAGACCCCCACAACCUGGUAGGCGAGGUCACUCAGUCCAUUCCUGACCAGCUAAAGCAAAACACAAAAUGUGUUGGACUGAUGCCCAGGAGGACAGGACCAGGAACCGGGAUUCCCCCCAGUCCUCUCAGCUCGCCCCAGUGAUGGCAGCUGGACCUGGAAGGCUGUCCGUGUGCCUGUCAUUUGAGGCAGAGAAGGACAUGCCAAGUGUCUUGUCACCAACACCUGACUCUGAGCACCAUUCAAAUGACAGCAGCCCUUGUCCCCUGCCCAGCUACCUCUGCUACUUGAGACCUUGGGCCCUCUGAGGUUAGGACAGUGGCUUGGCCUGUAGGCAGGGAGGGAGAACAAUGUGUCGCAGGCUGCAGGCUCAGCACCGACUGUUACAGAAUCCGUUAUGCGUUCCAUUUGGUCAGUGUGGACAGCUAGUGACAGUUACAGCAAGGACAGUUACUUUCAGUACAUCUGUCCUGAAAUUAAGUUUGGUCACUCGAAAAGGUGACCAAACUUGAUUUCAGGACAGAUGUACUGAAAAGUAAUCAGUGUCAAGAAGUCCAGUCAACUUAUAAUUUACAUGGAAUUUUGUGUAACGUGCCCAGAGCACAAGGAAGGCAACAAGUGUCCAAGUGAACUGGAGAGAGAACUGGAAUUCUGAGGUGAGCCUGCGUCUCCAGGGCACCGCUCUUCACUUGGUUACAAGAGCCCAUCUCCAAAAUAUGUGAUCGUGUUCCUCCAGAGGUUACUAAAUUUACUAUCUCAAAUAAGCUGGUUGAUUGGAAAGAUCAGGUAACAAACCAAAUAUAUAUCUUUAGAUCUGUGCAUAUUUUUGUCAUUUAAUUUUCAAAUUGUUUCUUUUACUUUCACAUUUCAAAUAUAACAAUAAUUAUUCACAAUUGGGAAAUUAUUCUGUCAGAGUAUAAGACUUUUAAUUACAAGGUUUAAGACACUUCCAGAAUGAGUUUGAUAUUCAUGGAGCAAAUUUCGGUCACUGGAAUAUAGUACCAGAAAGAUUAUAUUCAGGCCCAUAUAAAUCAGAGAGAGAGGCCUUUGCACAGGUGUGAACUACUGGCUCUGGAAGACCAAGGGGUGUGAUGACCCUGCACUGCCAACAAAGGCCAUGGAAAUGAUCCGCAGUACACGUGGGCCACGGCAAAACAUAGGAUGGCUGCUCCGUCUGUGACCAACACAAUUACCAGUGAAUAAAAUUAGGGCUGGUAAACACAGUUAUAAUACCAAGAAAUUAACAAUUAUUCUAAAAACCAAUUUUCCCCAUUAAUUCAACUGCUUGGUUUAUUAAGGCAUAACAUUUAAAUGCAGACUCAGAAAAACUAAAAAUAUCUCAACACCUUAUUUUUCUAAUAUCUCCUUUUCCCAUAGGCUAUAUUUCAUUUCAGUCAAAUCAAAAUUAAAUCUGAAUUUUAACAUAGGAAAAGCAAUUCAAAGCACCAUUCCCUGGUGAUUUCAAUUAAUUCCAUCAUACUCUAAAUACAAACAGUGAACACUCUUCCACGAGGGACUGGCAAUUCAACUUGCUCCCUUGCUCUCCACAGAAGCAUCUAGUUUUAUGUUCUCUAACUAGCUUACCUGAAAGCUAAACUGGGUGUGGAUCAGCUGGGAUUACCUAGCUGGCGCGGCUGUUGCUGCUUCUGGACAACCCCACUGUCCACCUCUGGUGGGGACACCAAUGGAGCGUCUGCAAAUGCAAGAAGUUGAGAGGCUCUGCACAGGCACGGCGGACAGGGUUUCCUGCAGCCUUUCCUCUACUUGCACUCCACACAUACUGGACUGGACUCCUCUGCACCGGCUCUUCCUCUAGCUGUCACUGCCUCACCCUGCAGCUAGUGAGCUGCGCUCUGCACCCCAUAGCAGCACCCCUGUGGUACCUCUGCAAUCACACUAUAAAAACUAGGAUGUCUUGGGUCUCCUCCUAGCACCAAGGCCUGGUGCUGGACCUGAUGAUGCCCCAUAGCAUGCCCUUCUGCAUGAAUGAAGGUGGGCGUUGGCCAGUGACUUCCACAGUCCUUGGGGGUCUGACCUGGCUAUUCCCCCCAAACUCCCAAGACCACCCACUUUUUCACUCUGGCAACACCGAAAUCCUGCGCUUCCUCCGCCUUCACUAUGCUAUGGUGCUAUGAUGCAUGGACUGCUCGCUGCCCCACCCUUCUCUGCACUGACCACAAAGAACAAUCCUCCCAUGGCUCUUUGCAGGCCUUUCCCCUAACUCUCAACACACAGCCUUCUCGUUACACUACCAUGCUUACAUGCCCACGCCUUUCCCUGUAAAUCCCUUCCUGUUGGCCCCUGGCCAGGCGAGGGUCAACCCAUGGGCAACUGAGGGGGAGCAGUUAGUGCAGGCUACCACUACCCCUGAAGGCCCCCUCAGGCACUUUGGGGCAGCCAACCCCUCCCACCCCCCACUUCCACCCCUGCCCACAGGGUGGAGGCAGCCUCCUGUCCUUGCUGGCACCUGAGAGGACUCACCUGGCCACCACCAUCACAGCCAGGAUAGAGACUGUAUUUAUUUUUUUCUUUUUUUUUUUUUUUUUUGGUAUUUAUUUUUCUACAGAAAGAAUAUAUGCCUGACUAAAUUCUGUUGAACUGAAUCACUUAAAAUACUACAAAUUCAACACAGAAGAUGUUAUUGUUUUUUCCAAGGAUGGGUUUAUUUCAAAUUUUAAAGAUAUAUACACAUAUAUUAUUUUUAUUACAUGUAAUAAGCAAUUUUAAGCUUACAGUAAAAAGUUUCACAUUUUUAAAGUUUUUUUAAAAAAGGAUGUCUUAAAAACAUAGACACUUUUAAAAAGCCAAAUAAGCUAAGGAUCUCUCACAGCACAGAUUUCUCCCUUAAAUAUUCACAUUUUAAAAGUUGUUUUGAAAAGAUUAAAAAAACUGGCUAAAAUUA